CACCUGCUGAAUUUAAGCAUAUAAGUAAGCGGAGGACAAGAAACUAAACAGGAUCCCCAUAGUAAUGGCGAAUGAACCGGGAUAAACUCAGCAUGGAAAUUGGGGCCUUUGGCUUUGACUUGUAAUCUGGUGAGGCAUUGCCAACUGAGGCGCAUAUGUAAGUCUCUUGGAAAAGAGCAUCAACGAAGGUGAGAGUCCUGAUUGUCAUGUGCAGCCCCCCUGUGCACGGUGUGCCUUCUAAGAGUCACGUUCCUUGGGAUUGGAGCGCAAAUUGGGUGGUAACUUUCAUCUGAAGUUAAACAAUGGUUUGGGACCGAUAGGAAACAAGUACCAUGAGGGAAAGGUGAAAAGGACUUUGGAAAGAGAGUUAAAAGUGCCUGAAAUUGCUGAAGGGGAAGCGAAUGGAACCAGUGGUGCUGGGUGAGAUUGUCACAUGCUGCAAGGAUUGGUUGCUGCCACAACGCAAGUGUGCUGGCAAUUUGUGAACUGCUAGUGUGUGGUGUGUCUUACCUAGUGGGUCAUUGUGGGUUUAUGCAUUAAGAUAAAUCAAAGCAAGCGGGAGCAAGUUUACGAGUUUGUGAAUGUGUGUUGUUAUGCUUGUGCGUAAGCUUUAGUGUUUGUCUGGCUGCAGGGCUGUCCAUCCUCAAGCUUUGCUGUGGUUGCGAUGAGCACAACCUUCUGCACAGAUCUUGACGAAAUGGUUUCAUUCGACCCGUCUUGAAACACGGACCAAGG
rnacentral:rRNA from 1 species